rnacentral:rRNA from 1 species
GGAUGCGAUCAUACCAGCACUAAAGCACCGGAUCCCAUCAGAACUCCGAAGUUAAGCGAGCUUGGGCGACAGUAGUACUAGGAUGGGUGACCUCCUGGGAAGUCCUCGUGUUGCAUUCC